rnacentral:rRNA from 1 species
GCAAACUCAAAUGAAUUGACGGGGGCCCGCACACGCGGUGGAGCUUCUGGUUUAAUUCGUUGCAACGCGAAGAACCUUACCUACUCUUGGCAUCCAGGGGAUCCCUUAAAAAAAGAGGAUUUCCUUUGGGGGAACCUCCGACACACAAAAGCACGGCCGUUUUCUCCUCUCGUUUUGAAAAGUUGGGGUUAAUGCCGCAAAGCGCGCCUCCCCCCUUCCUUUUUUUUCCCCCACAUUUAUGGGGGGCAAAAUAAAAGGAUUUCCCGGGUUAAAACCGGGGAGGAGGGGGGGGGAUGAGGUCAAGUUAUCAUGCCCUUUAUGAGUAGGGCUACACACGUGAUACAAUGGCAGAUACAAAGAGAAGCGACCUCGCGAGAGCAAGCGGAACUCAUAAAGUCUGUCGUAGUCCGGAUUGGAGUUUGCAACUCGACUCCAUGAAGUCGGAAUCGCUAGUAAUCGUAGAUCAGAAUGGUCCGGGGAAUUCGUUCCCGGGCCUUGUACACACCGCCCGUCACCCCCUGGGAGUGGGUACACUAAUUAGUCACUGGCGUGUCCUUCUCACAACGCGGCUUGCUCGGCUACCUG